CUUAAGCCAAUCAAAACACAGCUUCAUCGGUGCUGUUGACGACCCUGGACCCUUCGGUCGAGGCCGGUACAACGAGAAGAUGGAGCCUGAAGUUCCCAUCACCAAAUGGCGAAAAGGGCCACAAUGGUUUGAGGUAGACCGGGACCUGGCAGCUACCAUUGUCAAAGACACAUUGUAUCACCAUAAAUUCAGAGAGUUUUGUAGACCCGCUUGCUAUUCAGACGAGCAUUAUUUCCCUACGAUGCUGACUAUUGAGAAACCGACGGCGUUGGCUAACAGGAGCGUGACGUGGACGGACUGGUCUAGAGGCGGGCCCCACCCGGCUACGUUUGGGAGAUCGGAUAUUACAGAGGAGUUCUUUGGAAAGAUCUUUGAUGGAGAGAACUGCAGUUACAAUGGUCGUAACACUUCCAUGUGUUAUCUUUUUGCGAGGAAGUUUGCUCCUAGUGCAUUGGAGCCGCUGCUUCACAUUGCUCCCAAGAUUAUGGGGUUUUGAGUUAGUAUAGUAGUGUCUAUGAACUGAAAUCAAAUAGAGAUCAUGAUACGGAUUAUAUGAUAGAUUAUAAGCCAAUAUCAUUUUAUUUUGUUUGUUUACACAAGUUUGGAAUAAACGAGAUAUUAUAAGAGAGAGAGAACGUUGCACAACAGGAUCUUAUAACUUUCGACGUCAAAGGAAAACUAUGUAUAGCUCAAUUUUGUUGGUUCCUAACGUUAAGCCUGAUGCUUAAAUUGGAUAAGAAACUAUAGGGUUAGGUCAUAAGACUAGUAGUAAUUUGGUUACCGACCAAGGUUUUUGUUUGAAUACUGAAACACUACUACAGCACAAGUGGCAAUGGGAACAUAACACGGACACAGGUGUGUAAACACAUUUUUAACACAUUCACUCUCUUUUCCUUUAUUUUCUUGUUGUUAUUUUUUUUUUUAGAUAAAAUUCCAUAUUCAAAUAUUCUAAUAAGAUUUUAUUAAAUUUUAUAGAACUCAAAGAAAUUUUCAUUACCAUUUUUAAUAUUCUAACGAAUUAGUUUAAUCAUUUUAGUAUAUGAAAAAUUAAUCUGAGCUUAUUAAACAUUCUGUGGUUUUAAGGGAAUAUUUAUAUUAUAUUUUAUUUAAUAAAUAUUAAUAUUAUAUAUAAAUGGUAAACAAUACUAAUAUAUUUUUCUUUUUGCACAGUUUUUUAAAGCUGAUAUUACAAUUAUAAGUACAACGAGAAGAUGGAGCCUGAAGUUCCCAUCACCAAAUGGCGAAAAGGGCCACAAUGGUUUGAGGUAGACCGGGACCUGGCAGCUACCAUUGUCAAAGACACAUUGUAUCACCAUAAAUUCAGAGAGUUUUGUAGACCCGCUUGCUAUUCAGACGAGCAUUAUUUCCCUACGAUGCUGACUAUUGAGAAACCGACGGCGUUGGCUAACAGGAG
rnacentral:lncRNA from 1 species